rfam:TPA: Bos taurus chromosome 1, whole genome shotgun sequence.
UCCCUGGUAGCUCAGCAGGUAAAGAAUCUGCCUGCCAUUCAGGAGACCCUGGUUCCAUUCCUGGUUUGGGAA